AAAAUCGUUCUUCUACCUUGUAUCAAGCCCCACAAAAACCUUCAUCAUAUCUUUCCUAUUUCCUCGGCUUUCUCUCUCUCUCUGAUUAACUGUCAAAUGCAGACUCGAAAAACUCAAGCUAAUAAAAACCGGCUUUUCUCAUGGGAUCUGUCGCAAUAAACCCCACAUUAAACACUUUCUGCUUCAAUCCCCAAAGCUACAAGACCAGACCUUUUAAUAAUUAUUCUCCUCGCUUCUCAUUCAUCAAAGUUAAAGCUUCUCCAGUUUCUUUCGCCUUUAAAACUCCUCCUAAUCCCAUAAACCCAACUCCUAACUCUCAAAAUCGAAGCUUUUCAGUUAACCCUUUAUUGGUUUUAGUUCCAGUCUUAAAAAGCAUCAAAGGCUUGGCCUUCUCACGCACUCAAAAAUGGGCUUCAUGUUUGCACGCUUACACCGCAGAAUCAGAGAGAAUUUUAGACCAAUUUAGUGGGAAUUACUUGCAAAGCGGAGGUUUUGGGGUGGCUUUAUUAAGUGUAACGGCUAGUGCUAAGGUUCGAAUUAGUCCAUUUGUGGCGACAUUGGCGGCGAAUCCAACGUUUGUUUCCGGUUUGUUAGCAUGGUUUGUUGCUCAAUCGAUGAAGGUGUUUUUGAAUUUCUUUAUAGAAAGGAAAUGGGAUUUUAGGAUAUUGUUUGCUUCUGGUGGGAUGCCUUCUUCGCACUCGGCUUUGUGUACUGCUUUGACAACAUCAGUGGCGAUUUGUCAUGGAAUAGCAGACUCGCUUUUUCCUGUUUGUUUGGGGUUUAGUUUGAUUGUUAUGUACGAUGCGAUUGGAGUUAGAAGGCAUGCUGGGAUGCAAGCUGCGGUUCUUAAUAUGAUCGUUGAGGACCUAUUUCAAGGGCAUCCUAUCAGUCAAAGAAAACUUAAGGAACUUCUUGGACACACUCCUUCACAGGUCUUUGCAGGAGCUAUGCUUGGCAUUGUGGUAGCUUGUGUAUGCUGUCAAGGUUGCUUGGUUGCAACCUAGAACUGCUUCUGCAAGCAAUUUUUGAUCAGAUCGUGUGAAGUGUUUUGCUAGUUUAAAAUCCCCUGGCUCAAUUGUAUGGCCUGCUGAGUUGUUGUAUUCCCUACUUACAUCUUCAAUAACCUGAACCAGAAGACGCGGAACUUUUCUUUUUCCGUUUCACUAACUUUCCUACUUGUAGCACAAAUCUGAAUUGACGCCAUGUAGCAAUUAGAAACUUUCCUGCCAGUAUGUUGGAUCAAGAAUAAUUAUUAGAUGAAGGAUUGAAGAGUGCUGAGCAACUUGCUUGACCGCAUUUUUCCCCUGGGUAAUCUUGGGCCAUGGGCGGUUCUUGGCAUUUAGAAAUUUGUGGUUCCACUUUAUUUCUAGUUAAAGUUAAUGAUUUCUUCUUCUUAUCUGCAAAUAAAUUCUGACGAAGGCGGUGCAAAUUUGGGAUUUGAGAGGGGAAUUCCAAUUCGGACAGAUUUAUCUCUUCAAGCUACCCAUUCAUCUCUGUCUUUAUCCAAAAAUUAAAAAUAAAUAAGGAAAUAAAAUAGUAUAGUUCUGCUGGGCUACGGCCUCGCCAUCACGUGCUAGAAGGCACUAUCUCAGUUAGAGCUAGAAGGGCUUUGGUUGAACCACAGCAGUGCGCCACGUGGUGAUCCAGCGGCCCCACAAUCACCAAGUUUGCUGAUGGCAGCCAUUGAAUAAUGGUUUCCCAGAGUCCCCAAUCACUUUCAUGGUCCACCGAUUGUUAGAUCUUUGUCUGAAUCACGUACAGCUCUGCAGACGUCAACUAAAGGAGAAACCAUAAAACUUUCCGAAGAUUCAAGACAAACUACUGUCCUUCUGUCAGCUGCAUAUCCCAAAAUGGCAAAAUGUUAAUCUGGUAUUUUCUUAGUAUUUCUUUUUCGAGAACAGAGAUAUUUUCUCAUUUCCAUACCCUUCUUUUCCUUCGUCUUCGUUUCUUUCUCUCUGUUCAUAUUACUCCUUUUAUAGUUCGUUGUUUUCUUUCCUUCCAACUCAAUUUGGUCAACGUUUUCGCGGGGCUGUGAAUUGGAAUAACAAUCUUGAAACUUGGAUAGACCCCUACAUUCAUCAGAUAAAGAAAGUUAAAGAGCUGCCAGAGAUGCAGCUUAUUUGUCUUGUUCAUAAACAGUUAUUUAUUUGUUGUGAAUUGUGAUUUUAUGUGCGUUUGUCUCCUAAUAGUGGUGUUUUGCUUCUAUAUGAUGGUGUAAUUCAGCAUAUUCUGAUCUUGUUACAGUGGGGUGUAUCUACGCAUUUAAAAGACUUCACCUGAUUAAGCUGACAACUUAUACCGGAAAUGGGUUCAAGUUGCUCGAUAGAUUCAGGAGCUGUAAACGAUCCCAUGCCAGAGAAUUUUAACAAUCUUGCUUCUGAAACACCUUCUGAGUUUAGCUAUCUCUUUAUCUUUAUAUGGUUGAUUUUAUGUAAAACUCAAAGGGUUAUAUCCUUCUGCAUAAAUUCAACUUAUUAUUUUGUUCUCAGAAGACAAUGCACAUGUUCCGUAGGAAAAUUUUGGAUGUUCUGACCUCACUGUCCUCUUCAAACAAGGACUUUAAUUUAUUUUAGGAAUUACUUUGCUGAAACCUUAAACAAAGCACUACUAUUAUUUAUGUUAGAUUUUGACAGUCACUGCCAGUGAGAUUCAAUACUUGCAUGAGCUAUAUAAGAAGUUAAGCAGUUCCAUAAUCAAAGAUGGAUACAUACACAAGGAAGAACUGCAACUUGCAUUAUUCAAAAACAGCCAAAACCGUAACCUCUUUCUAGACAGGAUGUUUGAUGUUUUUUAUGUGAACUGCAAUGGGCAAUUGAUUUUGGAAAAUUUGGUUGCUCAUCGGGCAUCUUUCACCCAAAACUCCCGAAGAAACAAAAAUAAGAUGUAAGACAUGAAUUUCAUGACAGAGAAUCUUUGUAUUAUAGUACUAUUUUCUUUAGUGUCUUCUCCUAUACAGGACAUUCAUGUAACUUCUAUGUAGAGUUGGUCAAUUUUAUGUUUGUUGUUGCUUGUGGCAGAUGCUUUUAAAUUGUAUGAUUUGAGACACACUGGUUACAGUGAGCAUGUGGAGGUAAGUUCAAUCUCAUUGUUCCAUUUUGCUCGCAUGGUUAUGUGCUGAGUAAAGCUCUUAUAUUGUGCAACUUCUGAGAAUUAACAGUGGCUAUAUUGUUUGAUAUGUUUUGAUGUUAAGCAUCCAUAGUUGCUGAUUGAAAUUGAUAUUUCAAUGAGCAGCAACGUGCUGAGGGCAAAUUGGUUGCCUAUCCAGCUCUCAACGUAUUGGUUUCUCUAGUUGCUUUCCAAUCUCUCCCUAUCGUUUACAAGUUUCAAAAGUGUUGCGAUUGCUUAUUUUGCCCCAUCAAAAAUUCUGCCUCAAUAUUUUGAUCUUAUUUGAUACGUGAACUUGUUUCCAUUUAUCAUCUUAUCCUCAUUACGUUUUGUCUAAAACGGCUUCUUCUGCAAACCUCCAUUUUAAAUGCAGCUUAAUAAGCUUUUAUUGCUUAUGCUGUUAUUCAAUAUAAUUACAUCAAGAUCCCUAGGCUACUACCUAUCUCUCUUGAGUUUACAGUUGAAGGAGAUGGUUCUGGCUAUUCUAAAGGAAUCCGAUCUAAUUCUAGUUGAUGAUGUUGUUGAAACAAUUGUUGACAAGGGUUGAACAUCUUCUAUACUCUCGGAUAAGUGCUUUUCUUUGUCUCUACUUUUCUGAUUUAAUGCUUGCUUAUGCUUGUCUGUUGCGCAGACGUUCACAGAAGCUGAUGCGGAAGGUGGUGGCUGGAUAAACGAAGAAGAGUGGAAAGGUUAUGUGGCAAAGAAUCCAUUGUUAUUGAAGAACAUGACUCGU